CGUGGCCCCAAAAGUGGUCCUUAUCGGGUUAUACUGGAAGCCACUGGCCUGGCUGCAGGAACUGAAGUCAGCAUAGGCUGAAGCCAAGCUCGAGGUGUCCAUCCCGGCCAUACAGGACUCGUAGGCAGAGGAAUUGAGUUUUCAGAAGAGUGAGUUUGUUCCAUGGUGUCCUUCAGAGACCAUCAGUGGAUUUUUGUGUUUUGUUUUGUGAGUUUGUUUUGUUUUGCAGCAUUAUGAACUCAUGGGACUCUGCCCUCUCAGCCUCCAUCGAGUCUGGCCCUGGAUAGGGAGAAGCUGUGGCCACAAGACUAGAUCCAUCAGAGACAAGAGGAGAGCAAGUAUACAACCAUGUUUGGGUCAUCCAUGGCUUCUUCUCUUUUAAGACUGUUUCUUGUUUUAUGGACAGAGAAGGGUUCUAUGAGUAAUUAGCAAAGAAUUUAAGAUUAGUAACUCUCAUUGCCCUCACAUUAAGCAAUUAGACUGAGUUCUUCAUCAUGUUGGAAACUAUGCUGAGAGACUGCUGUAACAUGGAGGUAAUAUGCUUGUUUAUUUAAUUAAAUUAUUGAAAAUCAGGAAUGAUAUCAUAUCUAGACUUUCCUAGCAAUGUAGACAUUUCCCAGAACUUUUAGCUGAAGAUUUUUAGUAAUUGCAUUCUGCUAAUCAACUAAAAUGGCCCAGUAUAAAUGUUAAUAAAUAAACAUAAUCAUAAUCCUAGACAUACUCAGUUGCCAAGGACUCCAAGAAGGCAUCAAACCCACCCCUCUGCCUCCAGGCAUGCUUUAUCAUCUGAUCAAGUCUCAGCAGAAAUAACAUCAAAAAAUAUGUUCUACAUUGGAUUACUUCUACCCAUGUCCUUUAUAUAUAUUUUUCAGAUAUCCUAGUCCAGAAAAGAAAAUGUCAGUUAAUUCACAUUAUUUCAGAAAACAUUAAAAAAGAUCAAGAUACCAUACAAGUUUGUUCAAAGGAAAAUAUUUAAUGGAUCUCCUUUUUUCUAUAAAUGAGGCAAUGAAUAUAUUUACAUGUAAGACCUACUGAGUCUGUACGUAUUGAAUUUGAUUUGAGUUAUUUGAGGGCUGGGUUAAAGGAUUUUAUUUUUAUAUAUUGAUAACAACCAAGUUAUAAUAAAUGAUUAAUUGAACA